AGUCGACGGAAUCCUUCGGGAUUUAGUGGCGGACGGGUGAGUAACACGUGAGAAUCUGCACUCAGGAUGGGGACAACAGCGGGAAACUGCUGCUAAUACCCAAUGUGCCGAAUUGGUGAAAGAUUUAUCGCCUGAGAAUGAGCUCGCGGCCGAUUAGUUAGUUGGUGGGGUAAAGGCCUACCAAGACGGCGAUCGGUAGCUGGUCUGAGAGGAUGAGCAGCCACACUGGGACUGAGACACGGCCCAGACUCCUACGGGAGGCAGCAGUGGGGAAUUUUCCGCAAUGGGCGCAAGCCUGACGGAGCAAGACCGCGUGGGGGAGGAAGGCUCUUGGGUUGUAAACCCCUUUUCUCAGGGAAGAAGUUCUGACGGUACCUGAGGAAUCAGCCUCGGCUAACUCCGUGCCAGCAGCCGCGGUAAUACGGAGGAGGCAAGCGUUAUCCGGAAUUAUUGGGCGUAAAGCGUCCGCAGGCGGUGGGGCAAGUCGGCGGUUAAAGACUGGGGCUUAACUCCAGAAAGGCCGUGGAAACUGCACCACUAGAGGGCAGUAGGGGUAGAGGGAAUUCCCGGUGUAGCGGUGAAAUGCGUAGAGAUCGGGAAGAACACCAGUGGCGAAAGCGCUCUACUGGACUGCAACUGACACUCAGGGACGAAAGCUAUGGGAGCGAAUGGGAUUAGAUACCCCAGUAGUCCUAGCCGUAAACGAUGGAUACUAG
rnacentral:rRNA from 1 species